UCUAAAUUUAGGAAUGCACUUGAGUUACAAGGCAUGGUGUUACACAAGUGAUACAGCCUGUCUGGAGGGGGAAGACAUUGUGAGAGUCUCUUAUCCACACAGACCUUCCCAGAUGCUGCAAACAGUCACAUUAGUGCUGACUCUGAAAGAACUUGUCUGCUCAUCCAUCACCUCUAAGAAGAGGAGGAAGAGGAAGGACACUGAAGUACUGAGGAGGAGGACAGCAUUUGGUGAAGAAGAUGAAAUUAAACUUGACAUUUUUUGGAUAGGUAUCAAGCUGUAGUGACUUUCAUUUCAAGAGGCUGAUCACGUGACCACAGGAUAAGAGGGGAGGAAUUUCUGUACAAAGAGAAAAUGUUUUAAGAAGAACAAAAGAUGACAUUUGGUUUGGCAAAACCAUAUAGACCAUAUUCUGGGCUGUUCCUUCUGGGCCUGAUCCUACACCACCAAGAAAAAUGUAAGCCUUGCCAUUGACUUAAACAGACUAUUUUAGAAUGUGUUCAGAAUUAUCCCAGCAGGUUCCUAGAGGAGUAAAAGACAGCUUUGUGUCAUCAAAUCAUCCCCAAUUAUGCCAUCAGCAAGAGCAAAUACAUCAACAAGUGCUCCAUCAAAUCCAGCGUUCUUUGGAAAUUGAUUUACAGCUACCUACUUAUUCAAAGAGAUGAGUCUAGUGAGGCCUUUGCAAAUUAGGGGCACACUAUUGUUCCCUGCAAGACAAGAUUUGGAAGUUCUUAAUGAUCAUUCACAUUUUCAAAAUAAAAAUGUGGGGAGGAAGUUUGCAGUACAUUG